rfam:Oryza meridionalis cultivar OR44 (W2112) chromosome 4, whole genome shotgun sequence.
UUUAAGUGCAACCAUGAGUUUCCGUGUCCAACUUUGAUGGUCCGUCUUAUUUAAAAAAAUUAUAAUUAGUAUUUUUGUUGUUAUGAGAUAAUAAAACAUGAACUAUACUUUACUCGUGACUUAUUUUUUUUUAUUUUCUUAAAAUAAGACGGACGAUUAAAGUUUAGCGUGGAAAACCAUGGCUGCACUUAAA